rnacentral:rRNA from 1 species
UACGGAGGGUGCAAGCGUUAUCCGGAUUCACUGGGUUUAAAGGGUGCGUAGGUGGGUUGGUAAGUCAGUGGUGAAAUCUCCAGGCUCAACUUGGAAACUGCCAUUGAUACUAUCAAUCUUGAAUACCGUGGAGGUCAGCGGAAUAUGUCAUGUAGCGGUGAAAUGCUUAGAUAUGACAUAGAACACCAAUUGCGAAGGCAGCUGGCUACACGAAUAUUGACACUGAUGCACGAAAGCGUGGGGAU